AACAUACCUUUUCGAUGUCUUUGUGUGUCCUUUCACCAGAACUGAAAACGGAAUUCAGUUGCAUUGCACUUAACAGUCUUUCAUCUUUCUGUGAUUCUGUCUCCUUAUAGGUAAAAUGAAGUGUUUGGACUUCAUUUCUCUUCCAGCUGCAGAGAUUAGGAGCAAGUUUGAAUGGGCUGCUGGGAAGAACAUACCUGUAGGAUGUUUCUUUGCACAUAAAGGAGCUGCAGUGGUAGAAAUGUAGAUUCGUGACGUGGCCUCCUGGAGUCUGUUGAAGAAGAGUAAUUCUGAAAAUUCUCUCUGGUCCGCCUGGCUCCCCUGGUGCUGUUCACCCUGAUGAAGACGAAGAUUGCACCAGCGCCACCUUCUGGGAAAAAUAGAAAUAGCAGCAAAGAAGCCCUAUUUAAAGACUGCCAACUCUAUUUCACUCUCCAAG
rnacentral:lncRNA from 1 species